UACAGAGGGGGCCAGCGUUAUUCGGAAUUAUUGGGCGUAAAGCGCGCGUAGGCGGCCACUUAAGUCGGAUGUGAAAGCCCUUGGCUCAACUGAGGAACUGCCUUUGAAACUGCAAGGCCUGAGGCCGGGAGGGGGUAGCGGAAUUCCCAAUGUAGCGGUGAAAUGCGUAGAUAUUGGGAGGAACACCAGUGGCGAAGGCGAGUCUCUGGACAGCAACUGACGCUGAGGCACGAAGGCCAGGGGAGCAAACGGG
rnacentral:rRNA from 1 species